CCGGAGCCGACCAGUGGUGGCGGCAGCCCCAGGUCCCGGGUCCCUCAGACAAAAAGGCGGGUGGAGGAGGAGUAGCCGAGCCCAGAGUCCUGCUCCGGCGCCGCCGAGCACCGCCCGCCUCAGCCGACCAGCCCCGUCGGCUACUGGGCCUAGCCUAGAGGAGAGGAGGGAAAGGCCGCGGAGGCCGCGAGGAGACGGCUGGGGCGCCAGCGGCCGGCUGCCGCCUAGUUGUGCUGCCCGGACCAAGGAAGGAGAAGUGGGAGGAGCGGGGAGCUCAGCGGCUCAGGACGACGACGCUCGCCACAUCCGGGACCCUCCGGCCGUGGCGGUCGCAGCGCCGGCAGCUCGGGCCUCAGCCCCUGCCUCUGUGGUGACUCCGCCGCGCUUCGACGUCGCCCCUGUCCCCGUCCCGCCCGCCGCCCCCGCCAACCCCGCCGCCGGGGACAUGUCCAACCCCUGAAGCCGGAGGAACGGGCCAGUCAGACUGCGCCCGACAGGUGAUGGGGAGCGGCGGCCGGGCUGGGCAGCCGCCGGGUGGGCGAGCUGGCGCGGGGUACCUGUUGACUUGGGAAGGGCCAGGAUCGCGAUCAAUGGAGGUGAAGUGAAAUCUGCAAGAGUCCUGCUCGUUCAAGGCCUGCAUACAGGAAAGAAGCAGGGGAAAAGCGUUAGAAACAGCUUUUGUUCUACAGCAUUUUAAAAUAUAAUAGGUAUAUUGAAAAGUCUGAUUCAGUUACAAUCAGUGUAUGGAAUCACAAGAAGAUCCAUAAGAAACAAGGUGCUGGAUUUCUCCGUUGUGUUCGUCUUUUUCCAGUGCCAUCAACCACCUCAAAGACACUGGUUAUCAGAGGUUGGAUUUAUGCAAACUUGGGCCAAAGGACAGUUAGAAGACAGUAGCUGAAGAAGCAUCUGUAGGGAAUCCAGAAGGAGCAUUCAUGAAGAUGUUACAAGCCCGGAAGCAGCACAUGAGCACUGAGCUGACUAUUGAGUCGGAGGCGCCCUCAGACAGCAGUGGCAUCAACUUGUCAGGCUUUGGGAGUGAGCAGCUAGACACCAAUGACGAGAGUGAUGUUAGCAGCGCACUAAGUUACAUCUUGCCUUAUCUCUCACUGAGAAAUCUAGGUGCAGAAUCAAUAUUGUUACCGUUCACUGAACAGCUAUUUUCAAAUGUACAAGAUGGAGAUAGGCUCCUGAGUAUUUUGAAAAACAAUAGAAAGAGCCCCUCACAGUCCAGCCUUCUAGGUAACAAAUUUAAAAACAAAAUAUUUGAAAAAAAAAUUAGAAACUGCGCAACCACAGGAAAACCGCCUGGCAAAGAUUCAAAGUGUAGGCAAAAACCUGCAGAGAGUGAACAGAGUCCUCAUGGGCCCAAGGAGCAUCCAGGAAAGGCACUUCAAAAAGGUGGGAAAGCACAGCACUAGGAAAGAACAGGAUGCCCAGGCAUUUGUGGACAAUGCUGCCAAAGGAAAAAGGCUUGAGGGUCCAGCCCCAAGGGAGCUGGAACAGCCUCACAUAGUGCAGGGGCCUGAGAAGGUAGUGGGAAACACCAUCUACACCAAGCCUUCAUUCACCCAAGAGCAUAAGGCAGCAGUCUCCUCUGUGCUGAAACCCUUCUCCAUGGGCGUGCCUUCUGCCUCUAGCCCUGCAAAAGCCCUACCUCAGGUCAGAGACAGAUCGAAAGACUUAGCCUACACCAUUUUAAUUUUAGAAAUGGCAAUGGCUAGAGUGAAAAACAUGAAGGCUGCUAAACCAAUCACACAUUCCAGAAAAAAAUAGCGCUUUUAUAAAACUCACUCCAUUGUGGCCCACAGAACACCCAAGGCCAAAAAGAUUAGAAAGUUUAGAAAGGGCAGUUAUCUCAACAGACCGAUGCUCGCAAAGAGGCCGCUGUUCUCUGCAGCAAAGAGCCUCAUACAUUCGCAAGGGAUUUUUUCAUCCUUAGGAGACCUGAGUCCUCAAGAAAACCCUCUUCUGGAAGUAGUUGCUCCUUCAGAACGUUUUACAGAAAACACUAAUGUAAAAGACACAACUAAUGUAAAAGACACAAAAGAGAUGUGUUCAAAGACACAUCUCUGAAAACACAAACUACAAUCAUCCUCCUGAGGCAGUUUCCGCUGGGACUGCAUUCAACUUAGAACCAACUGUUAAACAAACUGAGACAAAAUGGGAAUACAACAAUGUGGGCAUUGACUUGUCCCCUGAGCCCAAAAGCUUCAAUUACCCAUUGCUCUCGUCCCCAGGUGAUCAGCUUGAAAUUCAGCUAACCGAGCAGCUACGGUCCCUCAUCCCCAACGAGGAUGUGAGAAAGUUCAUGUCUCAUGUUAUCUGGACCUUGAAAAUGGAAUGUUCAGAAACACAUGUGCAAGGGAGCUGUGCCAAGCUCAUGUCGCGAACAGGCCUCCUGAUGAAGCUUCUCAGCGAGCAGCAGGAAGCAAAGGCAUUGAAUGUAGAAUGGGAUACGGACCAACAAAAAACAAAUUAUAUUAAUGAGAACAUGGAACAGAAUGAACAGAAAGAGCAGAAGUCAAGUGAGCUCAUGAAAGAAGUUCCAGGAUAUGACUAUAAGAACAAACUCAUCUUCGCAAUAUCUGUGACUGUCAUACUAAUAAUUUUGAUUAUAAUUUUUUGUUUUAUAGAGGUAAAGACAAUAAUUAAUUCAGGUUUUCAAAAUACAAUCCUGUGUUUGUGUGGAUUCAGAAUCCACAAACUGAAAACCAACGUCACUUUCCCACUUGACAUUCUUCUUCUGUCAUUUAAGGCUGAGGUGUGCUUUGUUCUUUUACUGCAAUGUAUAUUCCAGGAUUGUUAAAGGAUCCUCGCUUCCAGGAGGUCUCUGUGAAAUAAAACCAAGUUAAUCCCACUAGACUAUUUUAAGAAGUUAAGUUGAUAUAAUAGCAAAAUUUCUCCCACCCAAAACUAUGUCAACAAUUGGAUGUACUCACUGAGUCACCCCUUACUCUGCCACUAAUUUAUUUCCUUGUUGCUUAAAUGAUGAGAGACAUAUAAUCUCCACCCUCACGGAGUUGUCAUCACCCUGGAGAGGAAGAAGACAGCCAAAAGAGAGAAGUAUUGUCUUGUAGACUUACUAGAUUCACAUAGUAUCAUCCUUCUCCAGUGUGUAAGGUGUUGUCUAAAUAGGUCCAGUUAAAGAACUACAGGGUAGCCAUUUUUAAAAAAAAAUUUUGGCCACGUUUUCAAAUUCACAGGGGAGGGGGAAUGUCUCAUACUCCAGCCCUCCUGAGCCUAGGCCCUCUGUGAGAUGUGUCACCAUUUCUUGGACACCAUAUGAGACAUUCCCCCUCGGAUUAGAGAUGCUCAACCUGCAUCAACAAAUCUAAAGCCUGCAUCUGGCUACCCUGGGGCGAGUCCUGUUUACAGUGCCUAUUCCUGGAGCUCGCCUCUUUUUGCCUUUUGUUUGAUUAUGUGAUGUAUUACUUUUCCCAGCAGGCCAGUGCUAGCAUACUGGAAGAGGGAUUUAAUAAGCUGGCACCCUUGAUGCUAUGCUCCUAAUCCAACCUUAUUUGCCUCAUUGGCCAUUUCCAUUAUGGUGGCAGCCCUCCAUUCCAGCCACAGCAGCCCCUCAGCGUCCCCCAGUCACACUGUCCCCAUUGCUGCUCAUCUGUGCCUUUGUCCAUCUACAAUGCCCUUAUUUCACUCUGCCUGUGGGAGUCCUGUGAAUCUCUCCAAAGCCAACUCAGUUCAUCUUUCUGCUUGAAACCUUCCCUGAAUAGGCCAGGUGCGGUGGCUCACGCCUGUAAUCCCAGCACUUUGGGAGGCCAAGGCAGGCGGAUCACAAGGUCAGGAGAUCGAGACCAUCCUGGCUAACACAGACCAUUCUCUACUAAAAAUGCAAAAAAUUAGCUGGGUGUGGUGGCGGGCGUGUGUCGUCCCAGCUACUUGUGAGGCUGAAGCAGGAAAAUGGCAUGAACCUGGGAGGUGGAGCAUGCAGCCAGCCAAGAUCGGGCCGCUGCACUCCAGCCUGGGGGACAGAGCGAGACUCUGCCUCAAAAAAAAAAAAAAAAAGAAACUUCCCUGAAUAUUCCAGCCCUCCUGAGCCUAGUCCCUUUGUGAGAUUUGUCCCCAUUUCUUGGACACCAUAUAAGAGACUUCAGAGGCUGAAGUGGGAGGAUUGCUUGAGCCUGGGAGGUCGAGGAUGCAGUGAGCUGUGGUCAUACCACUGCACUCUAGCCUGGGCAACAGAGCGAGACCUUGUCUCAAAAACAGCCACCACCAAAAACUAUCUUGGGAUUUGAAUAGGAUUACCUUAAAUUUGUAGAUUAAUUUGAGAAUUGACAUCUGUACGACAUUCUAGAACAUGGUAUUUCAUGUCAUGUAUUCAUUUCUUGUUAAUGUCUUUCAGAAGAGUUUUAGGGUUUCCAUCAUAUAGAUCUUACACGUCUUUUGUUAGAUAACAGAUCUUUGUAUUUUUGUUCCUAAAUACUUCAGACAUUUGUAUUGCCAUUGUAAAUGGGAUCUUUCUUCCAUUUUCUAGUUAGUUAUUGGUGGUACAUCUGAAAAGCAUUUGAGGUUUGUGUGCUGCUCUCUUGAUUUUGUUUCUAGCCACCGUACUGAAUUCUCAUAUUACUUCCAGUAAAAUCUUAGUUGAUUCUCUUAGGCUUCUUUGGCUAACAUUUAUUAUUUUAUAUGCAAAUAAUUAUAGUUUUGUCUCUUCCUUUUCAAUACUUACACUCUUUCCUUCCUUUCCUUUCUUUUUUUUUUCUUUCUCAGGGCCUUGUUGUCACCCAGACUGGAGAGCAAUGGUGUGAUCUAGCUCACUGUAACCUCAAACUCCUGGGCUUAAGGGAUCCUCCUGCCUCAGCUUCCUGAGUGGCUGGGACUACAGGCAGGCAGUGAAUUUUAAAACUUUUGGUGUAGAGACAAGAUCUUGCUAUGUUGCCCAGGCUGGUUUUCCUGCCACUUUAGAGCAGGUUUCCUUUUUUUCAUACUUUUAAGAGGUUUUUAUUAGGAAUUGUCCAUUGAAUGUUAGCUAAAACAGUCAAUAAAAUGCGUUAAGUACCAGCUACAUGCAAGACCCUAAGUUAGAUACAGUCAGCCCUCUUCAUCAGCAGGUCCACAUCUUCAGAUUCAACUAGAUAAGGCUGAAUAUUUGAAGAAAAAAACAAUAAAAAUACAAUUAGAAAGUACAGUAUAACAACUGUUGCCAUGAUACAAUAUCUAUACAUUUUAUUAGUGAUGACCUAAAGUUCAUGGGACCAGGCACGGUGACUCACACUUGUAAUCCCAACACUUUGGGAGGCCAACCUGGGCAGCAUAGUGAGACCUUGUCUUUAAUAAAAAUAAAAAUAAAAAAAUUAGCUAGUGUGGUGGUAUGCACCUGUAGUCCCAGCUACUCAAGAGGCUGAGGUGGGCAGAUCACUGGAGCCCAGGAGGUUGCGGCUGCUGUGAGCUGUGAUUGUGACACUGCUCUCCAGCCUGAGUGACAGAGGGUGAUCCUGUCUCUAAGUAAGUAAAUAAAUAAAGUAUAUGGGGGGGAUGUGUGUUGGUUAUAUGCAAACACUGCACCAUUAUACGUAAGGGAUUGAGCAUCCACAGAUUCUGGUAUGGUGUGGAGGCGAUAUCCUAGAACCAGUCGUCUGCAAGGUAGCAAGGAUGACUGAACUGUGGAAGAAUCAAAGCACUGUUAAACAGCAUACAAUUCCUGUCUUCAAAAAAGUUAUCUCAUCGGGUAGAUGAGACUUAAAAUGAAUAAAAGGAAUGAAUACACAUUGGAGAUAGUGGUUGUUGUGAUAGAUAACCUUAAUUGUGUUUUCUUCCAAAACGGGUGAAUUCACAUAAAAGGGCAUCAGAAAAAUACAAAGACAACCCAUCAAUAUCAGGAGCCUGAGCAUGAGUUAAAGCAUGUGGAUGGCCUAGAGCCAUGUUUUUAAAAUUGUUAUUAAAUAUUGGUUUUUUACUUAAAUCAAUGAAAACUUUCUUUACUUUGUGGUUGUGUUCCUCAAAAUGAGAAUUUUUAACAAUAAUAAAAAUAAAGCUUAUUAGAUCAUUUUUAAUGGUAAUAAAUUGGUUACUGAAGAUUUGACUAAAGAGAAAACUAGGCCAAUCUAAGUAGAGUCCAAAUGAAGUAGAAAGUCCAU
rnacentral:lncRNA from 1 species